rnacentral:lncRNA from 1 species
CACUCCCAUGCUCUAUCCUCAUGGCUGGCCCCGUGGGAAUUUGCCUGGCCUUUGCUAUGUAGGUCACCCCAUUUUUUGGCUGGAGAGUGAUCAGGUCUGGGUGUUGGAAGUCAACUCCACCACUGAGUCACAGUGCCUCCGGGCACUGUGGUGGUUCUUCUCCCUGUGAAAGGUCUCUCUGCAGCAUUCUUGCAAGAGUUCAAAGCAUGAUGUAUACUCUACACUGAUUCUGAAAGCAGGGCGGUUUGAAGUUUUCAGUAUGCCAAUUUGUUAUAUUUGACAUAACUGAUAACCAGUCUUUAAUUGAUGGCUCCUGUUUCUCUGAAGAGUUCUGGAUGUGGGAACAAUUCAGCUUUUUCCCACUUCUCAGCCAUACCAUCGUCAGUCACCUCAGAAUGUUUAAUUCUUUGGCAGACGGAACUGGUGAGGUGGCCCCCAUUACCGCCUUUCUUGACGUCAGUGAGGGAGUUGUUCCCUGUGGCUGUCUUAUGUGAAAUAAUUCAGCAUUUGUACUUCAAUUAAAUUCAUAGGUAUAUAUUAUUAAAUGGUACUGAC